ACAGACUUAGUCCUAACCUUACAGUUAAUUUUUGCCAAACAUAUACAUGCAAGUAUCCGCACCCCAGUGUAAAUGCCCUGAGUUCCUUUGUCCAUAGGAAGCAGGAGCGGGUAUCAGGCACCCCCCCCCCCCCGUAGCCCAAGACGCCUUGCUCAGCCACACCCCCACGGGUAUUCAGCAGUAAUUAACAUUAAGCAAUAAGUGUAAACUUGACUUAGUUAUGGCAAUCUAUAGGGCUGGUAAAUCUUGUGCCAGCUACCGCGGUCAUACAAGAAGCCCAAACUAACUGCUACCGGCGUAAAGAGUGGCACUACAUUAUCGCUCAACUAAAACCGAAACGUAACUAAGCCGUCAUAAGCCUAUGUUACUUUUAAGAUCACCCUCAAAACGAUUUUAGUACCCAUGACCAACCGAGCACCACGAAAGCUAGGACCCAAACUGGGAUUAGAUACCCCACUAUGCCUAGCCCUAAAUCUAGAUGUUUACCCUACCAAAACAUCCGCCUGAGAACUACGAGCACAAACGCUUAAAACUCUAAGGACUUGGCGGUGCUCCAAACCCACCUAGAGGAGCCUGUUCUAUAAUCGAUAACCCACGAUACACCUAACCCCCCCUCGCCCAAAGCAGCCUAUAUACCGCCGUCCCCAGCUCACCUUCUCUGAGAGCUCAACAGUGAGCACAACAACAUCCCGCUAACAAGACAGGUCAAGGUAUAGCCUAUGGAGGGGAAGAAAUGGGCUACAUUUUCUAAAGUAGAAAACAACGAAAAGAGGCCUGAAAUAGCCUCUAGAAGGAGGAUUUAGCAGUAAAGAGGAGCAAGAAUACCCUCUUAAACUUGGCCCUGGAGCACGUACAUACCGCCCGUCACCCUCUUCGCAACUACCAAGUACUUCCAAACUAACUAAAGACUAAAAAAGAAAAAAGAUGAGGUAAGUCGUAACAAGGUAAGUGUACCGGAAGGUGCACUUAGCAC
rnacentral:ncRNA from 1 species